rnacentral:misc_RNA from 1 species
GAUGAAGAACGCAGCGAAAUGCGAUAAGUAGUGUGAAUUGCAGAAUUCCGUGAAUCAUCGAGUCUUUGAACGCACAUUGCGCCCCCUGGUAUUCCGGGGGGCAUGCCUGUCCGAGCGUCAUUGCUGCCCUCAAGCACGGCUUGUGUGUUGGGCCUCCGUCCUCCUCCCGGGGGACGGGCCCGAAAGGCAGCGGCGGCACCGCGUCCGGUCCUCGAGCGUAUGGGGCUUCGUCACCCGCUCUUGUAGGCCCGGCCGGCGCUUGCCGACACAUCAAUCUUUUUUCCAGGUUGACCUCGUAUCAGGUAGGGAUACCCGCUGAACUUAAGCAUAUCAAUAAGCGGAGGA